AGCACUUCUUAAACCAUAUUCUUUUAAAGUAAAUUAAUCACUGUAGUUGCUAGUAUCAAAAUACCUCGUUUUUACUUCUGUAAAACUUCAGUGAAUGAAAAUCGAAAUUAUGUCCAAAGGUGAAGUCAAACAUUUCCAGCCUAUAAAGACUCGUCUUGCUGCUGGAAAGAAGCCAGGGCAUGUGUCCGUGUUUACCUCACAGGCACUGGGUCGCACGCUCCUUUCACGCUGAUGUCAGAUUGGCAUGACACAUGGUAGGCACUUAACAUCACAUCACGGGGCAAAAACCUCCUAAGCGUUCGACCAGCGCAAGCGUGUUAAAGCUUGUAGAGGUGGAGCGGUCCACCUCAUCUGCUCUCUGCCAGAGCCAGUGUGUGUGAUAAAUGAGAGGAGGCCCGGUCUGCUUACUGAUGCACAGGAGAUACCGAACCAGCCCCCCCCACUCCUUACCACCCCUCCAUCCACCUCCUCUUCCUCCAUCUUUCAGCUUC